GACGAACGCUGGCGGCGUGCUUAACACAUGCAAGUCGAACGGAAAGGCCCUGCUUUUGUGGGGUGCUCGUGUGGCGAACGGGUGAGUAACACGUGAGUAACCUGCCCUUGACUUUGGGAUAACUUCAGGAAACUGGGGCUAAUACCGGAUAGGAGCUCCUGCUGCAUGGUGGGGGUUGGAAAGUUUCGGCGGUUGGGGAUGGACUCGCGGCUUAUCAGCUUGUUUGUGGGGUAGUGGCUUACCAAGGCUUUGACGGGUAGCCGGCCUGAGAGGGUGACCGGCCACAUUGGGACUGAGAUACGGCCCAGACUCCUACGGGAGGCAGCAGUGGGGAAUAUUGCACAAUGGGCGGAAGCCUGAUGCAGCAACGCCGCGUGCGGGAUGACGGCCUUCGGGUUGUAAACCGCUUUCGCCUGUGACGAAGCGUGAGUGACGGUAAUGGGUAAAGAAGCACCGGCUAACUACGUG
rnacentral:rRNA from 1 species